rnacentral:sRNA from 1 species
GCUGGGCAUGGUGGCGCAUGCCUGUAAUCCCAGCAGCUCAGGAGGCUGAGACGGGAGGAUCGAGGGUUCAAAGCCAGCCUCAGCAAUGGUGAGGCGCUAAGCAACUCAGUGAGACCCUCCCUCUA